UACGUAGGGUGCAAGCGUUAAUCGGAAUUACUGGGCGUAAAGCGUGCGCAGGCGGUUUUGUAAGUUUGCUGUGAAAUCCCCGGGCUUAACCUGGGAAUUGCGAUGAAGACUGCAAGGCUAGAAUCUGGCAGAGGGGGGUAGAAUUCCACGUGUAGCAGUGAAAUGCGUAGAGAUGUGGAGGAACACCGAUGGCGAAGGCAGCCCCCUGGGUCAAGAUUGACGCUCAUGCACGAAAGCGUGGGGAGCAAACAGG
rnacentral:rRNA from 1 species